UCAGAUUUUUUUUCACAGUGAAAAAUCAGAUUUUUCUUCAUGUGCUAUGCCCUCUUUUCUCUCCUUUUAAAUUGGCAUCCAAGAUGAGAUUAGGUCAAACCUAAUUAGAUAAGGACUUGAAUUUGAAUGAGAAUUCAUCCCUAUCCAAAAGGGGAGAAAAGAGGGCAUGGAGAAGGCCUUGGGCACAGCUUUUCUUGUGCAAAAACAAUGGAGGGACGCAUGGAAUAAAGGGCAUCAUGGGGUGGC
rnacentral:lncRNA from 1 species